UACGUAGGGUGCAAGCGUUGUCCGGAAUUAUUGGGCGUAAAGAGCGUGUAGGCGGCCCGACCAGUCCGCUGUGAAAGUCCAGGGCUCAACCCUGGAAUGCCGGUGGAUACUGUCGGGCUAGAGUCCGGAAUGGGCGAGUGGAAUUCCUGGUGUAGCGGUGAAAUGCGCAGAUAUCAGGAGGAACACCAAUAGCGAAGGCAGCUCGCUGGGACGUUACUGACACUGAGGCGCGAAAGCGUGGGGAGCGAACAGG
rnacentral:rRNA from 1 species